AAUGAAUGAAUGAUCCGUCUGGAGAAAACAGU
rnacentral:piRNA from 1 species